UCGUGAUGCACCUCUUGCCUUCUGCUGUUUAGUUAGUCUGGAUCUCAGGCCGUGGGAAGAUGCUUUCCACAUUUAGUGUACUUCUUUCCCCAUUAAUUUAGUGCAUGCUAGAAAGUCCCUCACAGACACCUGGAGGUUUGUCUUCCUAGGUGAUUCUAGGUCCUGUCAAGUGGACAAUUAAUAUUUAAAGUCUCUUGUGUCUUUUGAAAGUGGAAAGGAAGGGAGGAGAAGAGAUGUGACCUCUACCUCUCCUUCUCUGUCUUUGACUCCCGGUUACCAUCUGGAUUGUCCUUUCAGUUGCUAUGACAACACUCGGACCAUGAGCAACUUGGGAGAAGGAAAGUCUCCAUUUCGCUUGUACUUCUGGGUCACAGCCCGUCGGUGAAGGAAGUUAGACCAGAAGCUCAAGCAGGACCUUGAUGUGUAAACAUUGAGGGUCGCUGAUUGCUGCUCACUCACAGGCUUAUCCUUGGCAGGUCUUAUUUAGCCCAGGCUUAUUUGCCUAGGCACUGGUGCCACCCACGGUGGGCUUGACCCUCAUACAUCAAUUGAUAAUCAAGCCAAUCUGAUCUGGACAGUCCCUCUAAGGAAACUCCCUUCUCUGGUGACCCCAGGCAAGUUGACAUUCUUAGUCCUUCCUUCCUUCUCGUUCUCCACCUGUCCCCAGCAGUUUGGUCUUCAGGUCCAUACCUCACCUCAUUGAGAUGACUAGCUGUCUCCAUGUGGCCCGAAUUCAGUGUGUACUCAGCUCUCCUUAUCUGACUUAAUAACAGUUUGUCCUAUGGACAAAUUCUCUCUUCAAACUCUUGGUACAAGGCUUGCAUGACAUUAAGCCUCCCUCAUUCCCCCCACCCCCCAACAUAGAUCUUUCUGUUCAUUUCCCUGUUUUGUUCUUUAAACAGUAUCUCUGGGCCACCUCAUAAAUUCCUGUAGCUUCUUUUAUUACCUGUGUGUGGCUGACCCCAAAAUUUAUCCUGCAUCUUGAUUACUGUUGUACAUUUUCCAUGGUUGGCAUUGAACCUUGGUUAAGAGAAUGAAUGGAUUUAUAGAUAUUUAUCUAGCAUGAAUAGUCAUCUCGCUACAGAUUUUUAUUAUUAGUUACUCGUGGUAGUUUGAGAAAUAUUCCCCUGUAGGCUCUGUGUUUGAAUAUUUGCUUUCCAGUAGUUGGUGCUGUUUGGGAAGGUUUAAGUGGUGUGGCCUCACCAGACAGUACAUCACACCAAGAGGAGGCUUUGAGAUUCUGUACCCUCACGCUCCUUACAGUUCAUCUCUCUUCCUGCUCCUUCCACCAUGCCUGCUGCCUGUUACCAUGGCUCCCUUCCCAUGGUGGACUCUUAUCCUCCUGGAAACAUAAGCCUUAUAAGCUCCUCCAUAAAUUGCUUUUGGCUAUGGUGUGUUAUCAGAGCAACAGAAGAGUAACUAAUGUAUCGCCCUUCAGGAGAAUACUAACUAUUCUACUAACAGAGGCACUGUUGGUCUCUUUCAAGGACAGUGUGCCUGGUAGAGGGCAGGGACACAUUUGGUGUGAGCACCUGAAAAGGUAGAUCACUUAGGAAAACCGUGGCUCAAGUCAACAGUCCCUCGUGAGGCCUGGCUUUCUUGGUUUACAAGCUUGUCCCUCUCCUAUGGUACACCAUAUGGCUACCACCGAGGACAACGGUCUUUGGAAUGGUCCCCUUCACCCUGGCUCUGCUAAUGUUGCUCCUACUUGCGGAAGUUAAUUCUUGUGGGGAAUCUGCCUGUUCAAAUGAAUUUUCUCCCUCACCUCUCCUCCCGACCCCUCGCCUCCCCAUUUUAUCACACUGGGAAGAGGAAGAAAUUAACCAUAAAGUUUGGCUCACUGGGGCUGGUCUCAGUGGCUGGAAAUGCCGGGGUCUCUGUGGCAGUCUGCCUCCUGAGAAGAGCCCCGAUUCUUUUCUGUCUCCUUUCCUUCUGUCUGGGGUCACAGUGCUGCCCCCGUCACGGUGACCCAGUGAAAGAAGCCAGUGUACCACAUUGUGCAGUUUAAGAGUUAGCGAGCUCUGACUCUCUGGACUUCCUUCUCUCAAGAGUCUGACUUUCUACCAGCCUCCUCUGCCCUAAGCUCCAGGGCCGUUGAAGACAUCCUGAGCACUUUGCUACUCCACUGGAGUGCGCUCAGUGGUGCACAGGGACCUCAUAGCACCCAGGGCGGGCAUUCCUCCUGCCAUGGCGUCUGCCGCCCUGCUUCUCCUUUAAUUGCACUUACUCUUUUAUGGAGUGACAGCAGCUAAAUUUAUUUAUCAGGAUGCUCUCAUGUUCCCUCUUAAAGAGCAUCUAGAUUAAUAAACAUCAAGCAUAGAAACCUAA